rnacentral:rRNA from 1 species
AAGGCUUGCCUUCUGGGGUUGUAGGACACUCCAUAGGAGUUAUCAAGAGAUUCUUUAGAUGAAGCGAUCUGGAAAGGUCGGCCAAAGAAGGUAACAGCCCUGUAAUCGAAAAGGAAUCUCCUCCGGAGUGUAUCCUGAGUACGGCGGAACACGAGGAAUUCCGUCGGAAUCCGGGAGGACCAUCUCCCAAGGCUAAAUACUCCCUAGUGACCGAUAGUGAACCAGUACCGUGAGGGAAAGGUGAAAAGCACCCCGGGAGGGGAGUGAAAGAGAACCUGAAACCGUGUGCCUACAAGUAGUCGAAGCCCGUUAAUGGGUGACGGCGUACCUUUUGUAGAAUGGACCGGCGAGUUACGAUCGUAUGCAAGGUUAAGUGGAAGACACGGAGCCGCAGCGAAAGCGAGUCUGAAUAGGGCGAUAUAGUAUGCGGUCGUAGACCCGAAACCGUGUGAUCUACCCAUGUCCAGGGUGAAGGUCAGGUAACACUGACUGGAGGCCCGAACCCACGUAUGUUGAAAAAUGCGGGGAUGAGGUGUGGGUAGGGGUGAAAUGCCAAUCGAACACGGAGAUAGCUGGUUCUCUCCGAAAUAGCUUUAGGGCUAGCCUCAAGGAAAGAGUACUGGAGGUAGAGCACUGAUUGAACUAGGGGCCCUCAUCGGGUUACCGAAUUCAGUCAAACUCCGAAUGCCAGCUACUUAUCCUUGGGAGUCAGACUAUGGGUGAUAAGGUUCAUAGUCGAAAGGGAAACAGCCCAGACCGCCAGCUAAGGUCCCAAAGUAUACGUUAAGUGGAAAAGGAUGUGGAGUUGCCCAGACAACCAGGAUGUUGGCUUAGAAGCAGCCACCAUUUAAAGAGUGCGUAAUAGCUCACUGGUCGAGUGACUCUGCGCCGAAAAUGUACCGGGGCUAAACGUAUCACCGAAGCUGCGGAUUGUUCUACGAACAAUGGUAGGAGAGCGUUCAAAGUGCAGUGAAGUCAGAUCGUGAGGACUGGUGGAGCGCUUUGAAGUGAGAAUGCCGGUAUGAGUAGCGAAAAAAGAGUGAGAAUCUCUUUCACCGAA